rnacentral:rRNA from 1 species
GUUUGAUCCUGGCUCAGAAUCAACGCUGGCGGCGCGCCUAACACAUGCAAGUCGAACGAGAAAGUGGAGCAAUCCAUGAGUAAAGUGGCGUACGGGUGAGUAACACGUGGAUAACCUGCCCUUUAGUGGGGAAUACCGUUGGGAAACCGACGACAAUACCGCAUAAGCUCGAGAGAGGAAAGCAGCAAUGCGCUGAAGGAGGGGUCCGCGGCCGAUUAGCUAGUUGGUAGGGUAAUGGCCUACCAAGGCUGUGAUCGGUAGCCGGCCUGAGAGGGCACACGGCCACACUGGCACUGAAACACGGGCCAGACUCCUACGGGAGGCAGCAGUGGGGAAUCUUGCACAAUGGGGGCAACCCUGAUGCAGCGACGCCGCGUGAGCGAUGAAGCCCUUCGGGGUGUAAA